GUCCAGAUAGGUAUCUUCUGUUUCCUUUUUCUGGUUGAGAUGGUUAGCAUUUCUUCUUUUUCAUAACAAAGAAAUUAAUCUUCUUUUAAAUAUUGUUCACUUUAUUCUAAUGACUGUCCAAUGCACUUGUAUCUUAAGCACAAAGAAACCUAUACAGAAAGUGAAGUUUUCCUACAUUCUUCUCUGAUCUGGAAUCCAAGAGCAGAAUCUCCAAGUGAGAGUCUUAAGGAAAACAAAGUAUUUUCUGUUGGAUGAAAAUGUUCCCUUCUCUCUUGAGUCCCUUUUUCCAAUUGCCUUGUAUAUCUUUGUCUGCCUCUGUCUUGAGCAAACUAACUGACCCUUUAUUUCGCCUUUUUCCUGGAGAAAGACAAUGUUUUUGUACUAUUGUCUUUCAUCCAUGUUAUUUUAUCAUCUUAAUCUUUUUGUGACACCCAGCAUGCAACACAACUGCUUCUUCUCUGUUACUUUAUCUUAAGUUUAUUAUUAUUCUUUAUUUUAUGUUGUGUAGAACAAGGAUCUCUGGCCAGGUGAUAUGAUAUAAUUUUUUAUCAUUUAUUUAUCCUACUAAGGUGUCACUUUAUUCAAAUUCCUUUUGUAUUUUCAAAGAGAUGGGGAGUGACACCCUACCUCCAACCUGAAUUCUAUGUCCCCACGUUAUCAGUUAUUUAUAAAUGAUGAUGAUAAAUCCUACUGCAUUCCAGCUCAGACACAUAUAUAAUUCCAGGUCAAAACAACAAAAAUUGGACAGAAGAGAAGAAUAUAUUGGUAACACAGUGAGAAGCUUAAAAUGCAGAAUUACAAAACAUAAGAGAGACAUAGCAAACAAGAAUCUGGCUACAACACUGGCUAGGAAAUUUUAUGAAACAUCCUUAAGGCUGGGUCUCACAGGUGUAAAACACGACGUCACUACGCUGACGUAAAUGCGUCGUGCAUGAAACGUCGAGCGUACCGAUGUUCACACCGAAGGCAUACAACGCGACGUAAAUAAA
rnacentral:lncRNA from 1 species